UUAAGAUACUAAGGGCAUACGGCGGAUGCCUUGGCGAUAUCUGCCGAAGAAGGACGCGACAAGCUGCGAAAAGCUGCGGAGAGGCGCAAAUAGCCAUUGAACCGCAGAUAUCCGAAUGGAGAAAUCCGGCAGGGCUCAUCCCCUGUCAUCCAUGUCUUAGAGCAUGAGAAGGUAAGCCGGUGAACUGAAACAUCUAAGUAGCCGGAGGAGAAGAAAUCAAACGAGAUACCCCAAGUAGCGGCGAGCGAACGGGGCAGAAGCCCAAACCGGAGAAGGAAACUUCACCGGGGUUGAGGACCGUCAGAGCUUAAGAAGAAGUUAGCCGAAACGCCUGGGAAGGCGUGCCGAAGACAGUGAGAGCCUGGUAGGCGAAAACGGAAACUUAGGAGACGGAAUCCAGAGUACCGCGGGACACGAGAAACCCCGUGGGAAGCAGGGGGGACCACCCUCCAAGGCAAAACACAGAUAUCGACCGAUAGCGCAUAGUACCGUGAGGGAAAGGUGAAAAGUACCCCGGGAGGGGAGUGAAAGAGAACCUGAAACCGUAUGUUUACAAGCAGUCGGAGACCGUAUAUAUACCAGGUCGACGGCGUGCCUAUUGAAGAAUGAACCAGCGAGUUACGAGGACCGGCAAGGUUAAGCAGGAAAUGCGGAGCCGAAGCGAAAGCGAGUCUUAAUAGGGCGAGAGUCGGAAUGCGUAGACCCGAAACCACAGUGAUCUACCCAUGUCCAGGCUGAAACACAGGUAAAAAUGUGCGGAGGGCCGAACCUAUAUCUGUUGAAAAAGGUUAGGAUGAGGUGUGGGUAGGGGUGAAAUUCCAAUCGAACGUGGAGAUAGCUGGUUCUCCCCGAAAUAGCUUUAGGGCUAGCCUCAGGUGGUGAUUACAGGCGGUAGAGCACUGAUCAGGAGAGGGACCUACCCGGUUACCAAACCCAGUCAAACUCCGAAUGGCUGUAAUCAAACCUGGGAGUCAGACUACGACUUAUAAGGGCCGUGGUCAAGAGGGAAACAGCCCAGAUCAUCAGCUAAGGUCCCAAAUGCCGUGCUAAGUGGCGAAGGAUGUGGCGUUUCAUAAACAACCAGGAUGUUGGCUCAGAAGCAGCCACCAUUCAAAGAGUGCGUAAUAGCUCACUGGUCGAGAGACGCUGCGCCGAAGAUGUCCGGGGCUCAAGCACGGAACCGAAGCUAUGGCAGAUUGCUUGCAAUCUGGGUAGGGGAGCGUUCUUAUCACGGAGAAGCGGUACCGUAAGGAGCCGUGGAGAGGUAAGAAGUGAGAAUGCUGGUAUGAGUAUCGAAAAGGCUGGUGAGAAUCCAGCCCACCGAAAGCCCGAGGGUUCCUGAGCAACGAUCGUCGUCUCAGGGUAAGUCGGGACCUAAGCCGAGGCAAAGACGCAUAGGCGAUGGAGAACAGGUUGAAAUUCCUGUACCGGAGCAGUCCGUCUGAGUGAAGGAGUGACGCAGCAGGGCACACGAGCAUGCGGUUGGAAGAGCAUGUCUAAGCCCGUAGCCCGUAUGGCAGGGAAAUCCGCCAUACAGAAGGGUGAGAGGUGAUGGGGAGUUAAAGGCAACUUUGACGAACUCGUGAAUCCCACACUGCCAAGAAAAGCUUCUAGCAAGGACUGAUCCGCCCGUACCGUAAACCGACACAGGUAGGCGGGGAGAGAAUCCUAAGGUGCGCGGGAAAACCCUCGUUAAGGAACUCGGCAAAUUGCAUCCGUAACUUCGGAAGAAGGAUGGCCCUGAGUAGGCGAAGAGUCAAGCACUUGGAACCGGAAAGGGCGGCAGAAAAGAGGCCCAAGCAACUGUUUACCAAAAACACAGGUGCCUGCGAAAGCGAAAGCUGACGUAUAGGUGCUGACGCCUGCCCGGUGCUGGAAGGUUAAGGGGAGAGGUUAGCGCAAGCGAAGCUUUGAACUUAAGCCCCAGUAAACGGCGGCCGUAACUAUAACGGUCCUAAGGUAGCGAAAUUCCUUGUCGGGUAAGUUCCGACCC
rnacentral:rRNA from 1 species